rnacentral:tRNA from 1 species
GGAAGUGUGCCCGAAAUUAAGGAUCCCCUUGAUAGGGGGACUCAUAGGGGUUCAACCCCCUCUCUUCCC